rnacentral:rRNA from 1 species
AUACGGAGGGUGCAAGCGUUAAUCGGAAUUACUGGGCGUAAGGCGCGCGUAGGCGGUUUAGUCAGUCAGAUGUGAAAGCCCUGGGCUCAACCUGGGAACUGCAUUUGAUACUGCUGAACUCGAGUAUGGUAGAGGGAAGUGGAAUUCCGGGUGUAGCGGCGAAAUGCGUAGAUAUCCGGAGGAACACCAGUGGCGAAGGCGACUUCCUGGACCAAUACUGACGCUGAGGUGCGAAAGCGUGGGUAGCAAACAGGAUUAGAAACCCCAGUAGUCC